AGUCCUGUAGUAUAUAAUUUACACGAGAUUGCAAAUCUUGAGACGGAGAUUAGGAUUCUCCCGGGGCUU
rnacentral:tRNA from 1 species